GAUGAACGCUGGCGGCGUGCCUAAUACAUGCAAGUCGAGCGAACAGACGAGGAGCUUGCUCCUCUCACGUUAGCGGCGGACGGGUGAGUAACACGUGGAUAACCUCCCUAUAAUACUGGGAUAACUUCGGGAAUCCGGAGCUAAUACCGUAUAAUAUAUUGCACCGUAUGGUUCAAUAGUGAAAGACGGUUUUGCUGUCACUUAUCGCUGCUUCCGGGCCGCAUUAGCUAGUUGGUAGGGUAACGGCUUACCAAGGCAACGAUGCGUAGACGACCUGAGAGGGUGAUAGGCCACACUAGAGCUGAGACGCGGACAAGACUCCUAAGGGAGGCAGCAGUAGGGAAUGUUACGCAAUGGGCGAAAGCAUGACGGAGCAAGGCCGCGUGAGUGAUGAAGGUCUUCGGAUCGUAAAACUCUGUUAUUAGGGAAGAACAAAUGUGUAAGUAACUAUGCACGGAUUGACGGUACCUAAUCAGAAAGCCACGGCUAACUACGUG
rnacentral:rRNA from 1 species